AAACAUGCAUAUUUUAUUAUAGGACAUGUUUUUGUUUUGUAAUUAUUUAUGUAAAACGUUAUACUUAUAUAUAUUUUGUUCUAUACGUACUGUUAUUCGAAACAAUAAUUUUAAAGUAUGGAUAAGUCAUUUUAAUUCGUGUACAUUCAAUCAAAAAAUGAGUGAGUAUAUGAUAUGCAUAGUAUGUAUUGCAUACCAUCUCCGUGGUCCAACCGUGAACUCGUAAGAAGAAUGCUCUUCACCAUCGAAGGAGGAAAACUGCGUGAUCUUCCAGGUGAAUCUGGAGUUUCUCGGAGAAAACUCUAUCAGUUUAAAGCGUUCUGCUGUCCCCAUGGUUCGAGGGAUACGAGUAACGGGGAAGUUUGGUUGGACAUCGCUUAUCUCGGCAUAGAAACCCGCUUUGUCGUUCACAAGAAACCUCUCCUUCAAAUCCUUGUGUGAUAUAAAGUUGGCUAACCCUUGACUACGUUGUUUUUCGUUUUGAUGCCCCACCAAAACUGAUAACACAACAUAUAUAUAUCAAAAUCUAUACCCAAUAAUACUUGUGUGAAUUUUUUUUAUAUGUAUAUUUAUAUACACACAAAAACAUACCGAAGCAAUAAUCAGGUCCAGUCUGAGGGACUAUGCCUAUUUUAAAGUUGAAUUUGACUUCCCAAUUAGACCCGGUACACUUUUCAUCUGUGAUCUCGAGAACAAAGGAUAGAUGGUCUUUUCUUCCCUUAGAUAAGCGUAUAACCAACCUCCUAUAACGAAAAUAUCAAGCCAAAAAAGAACAUGACAUAAGUUAAAUUAAAUUGAUGAACCGUGUUGGAUCAACAGAUCGAACGACUCACCAUUUGAUACCAGAAACUUGGAAAUCCACUGAUUGACAAUUCUUAACUUUUUCAGUCAGUAGCUUAGACAUUCCAUCAACCAACAUGAAGUGAGCGUUUUUGCGUUCCUUAAGCUUCGCUUUUAUGGUGUCUAGAUUGAAUUAUAUAUAUAUGUAGAUGAGUAAACAUAAAUAGGCAGAAAUGAAUUGAAACUUAUAUGUAUGCAUGCGGAAUUAAGUGAAACGAACCUUCAAGUGACGGUAGACCCAUUAUGAGGAUGAUGGUCGUCUAAUUUACCGUAGUAGGGUUCUUUUUAAUUCUUUUGGCCUAUAUGAGAAGAAAGUGGUAUGCAUAUGUCAGUAUAUAUAGGCUGAUUCCUUGACGAAGAGGAUCAAUUAGGAUAGAAAUGGAACCGGUUAUAUAUCUUAUUCUUGCUCCAAAACAAAACAAAAAAGAUAAUCAUAUUAGAGCCAGGUUUUUCGGGUUAAACAAAAGUAGGUCCUAUCAGAAUUUCAUUUGUUUGUUCAUGAAUUUUAUUUCUAAAACUGUUGUUCAUAAUUUGAUCUUUGGUUCCAUUCAUAUCAAUAUAUCUCCAAGCUGUUUGGGAUCAGGUUUAGGCCAAGAUUCUCCAUCUCAAAAAUAUUGGUUUAGUUCGAAAUAUCACUAGACCUGUUUGGACUCGACAGGAGUUUGUAUAUAUGGUCCAAUUGAUAACCUUAAGUAUAUAUUCAUUUGGUAUAUAUACUCUACGACAUCAAUCAACAUAUAUAACUUGUUUUUUGUUUCUUUUGCUUUACAAUAUUCAACAUAAAAUUGGUUUGUACUAAAUACUAUUUUUGGUUUAUCAAAAAGUUAUAGGUGGUAUGGUCCGUAUUACUUUCGGGUUAAAAACUUCACCAAGUUAAAUCAGUUCAUUUCCUGUCACUUGAGUUCAAAUUCAUCGACUUUAAAGGUCUUAGAUUUCCUGCUGUCAAAAAAAAAAAAAAAUCUCCUAAUAAUCUAAUAUACACACUCCAAUUGAAUAAUAGAUUUUGUGUAUUAAUUAAUCCUGACAAAGUAGUUUCUUUUCCCUUUACUUGGGUAUAUGGAUAGACGGAACUUAUGCAUGGAGCUAGUGCCUGGGGCGUUACUAUAUGAAUAUCAUUUGUACACAUGAUUUAUCUCCCACUACGUUGCAAGCAUGUCCAACUUUGCCUAAUUUGGCUGGCCAGUCUAGAAAAUCUCAACCUAGAAAGAAUAACUAAAUUCCCGCAUAUAAAUAGAUAGAUUCGAUCAUAUCUAUAGCUAAUACGAACCAUAUCCUCCGGUCCUUUCAAGCACACUAAUUUUUAUUUUGUUUCCACCAAAAACAUUUGUUUUGACAUGAUCAAUUAAGCACCUAUUUAUUACCACGCUAUCGAGAAUCUAACAACAGUGGGCCGGGUGACAAUUCUGAAGGCGAGAUAUGUGUCUAGAGACGAGCAACGCAAUAUCCUCUUCUUUAGCAACGCAACGCAAUUUGCUUAGCUAGAUAUAUUUUUCUUCUCUAUCAAUAACUUUUCUUCUGUCUUUUUUUUUCUUAAUAUUUUUUUCAUUUUCUUGAUAACUUGAUUUGUUUACAAUAUCUCUAAGAAAUUUUAAUCAAUUUUUUUUAGAAAUGAUAAAAUAUUACCAUCUCUUUUAAAUCCGCGUUUUUACCUUAAAGAUCGUAUAAAAUAGAACAAAUGAGUAUUAAUUAAAGUUUUAAAAUCCCCAAAAUCAUCAAACCUACACAAAUGUAACUACAAAUGUGAACUCUAGGAAUAUAUUUUAAAUGAAAAACUAUGAGAAAGAAUGUUUUACAAAUGAUGCAAACAUAUGUUUUAUAUCAUUACUUCUGAAGUUUAGCAAAUAUAACAUUUAAUCUCUUUUAUAAGUUAUAUUUCUUAAUACUCGAAAUAAAAUAUUUAACACUGUUUACUUCAUGAACUAUAUAUAAUUUCUAUAGCUUUAAGAAAAAAUUUAAACCUUUAAACAUUAAAAAUAUCAUCAUUUGUACCAAUCAAUGAUAACUCUCUACUAUUUAACGUUUCUAAUAGAUUUGAGAGAGAUAGGCAUUGAAAGCCAACUCAUUUGGCCAUACUCUCCAUGAAUAUUAAAAUUGAAAUUGAUUAUUCCAACAUGGUGAGGUUUUUGUUUUUUUGUUUACGUAUGAAAGUAGAGCUUUUUAAGUUUUUUAUAUGUACACACCGAUAUAAUAGUGUAGUUAUUACAAACAAGAAAGGUAGUAAUUACUAAUACACAAGCCUGCAUAUCCCUUCUCCAUAAGAGAAUUUGCAGCAACGGAUUCGGGUUGAAUGUAAUCGUGACAUACAAUACAAUCAACCGAUUCGAUCCGUCACUUAUUCUAUUAUUUUUGAAUAAACCUGCAUGUUUGUAUCAUUCAUUGAUAUCUAAACACACAUUACGAUAUGCAUAUAUAGAAUAAUUGGUAGAUAGUUUCAACAUGAGCUAUUUAUUCUUGUGGUCUUGAUCGAAUCCGUUAUGCGCAUCAGAGAUACUCAGUAGUGGAUACAAUUAAGAACUCAACACCAAUAUAUAUCUGAUCGUUCACUAGAAAUCCCCUCGAAGCUUUGUGGAGUUCCUCCAGCGGCAAAAACUUAUGACGUCCCGAGGUCGUUAAAUGAAGAAACCAAUCUUGGCAGUCUUUAAUUAUCAAACAUGUAAUCAUUAGUAAACGGCUAUAUAUAUAUAUAUGCAUAGAAAAUGUAAAGCUUAGAAAACAAAAUGAUAAAUUAAUUACGUAUACAUACUAAUUUCAUAGUGAUUGCGAUGGAGUUGGUCCAACACUCUCAAUUUAUAGACAGCCAAUGUUACCCCCUUUGGAUCAUCAGUGACAUAAUCGGAAGCAAUCAAAUACAAAGAAAACGAAUUUCCUUUCCCAUCUCCAAAACCUUCUGGGUACAUUGAUAGCCUCCUGGUUCAUAUUUGAAACAUUAAUUUCAAAGUAUGGAUAAUUGAAUCAUUUCAUAUAAUAUUUUUGAAUUCGUUCACACUCGAUAGAAAGUAUAUAUGAUAUGCAUACCAUCUCCGUGGUCCAACCGUGAACUCGUCAGACGAAUGCUCUACACCAGUGAAGGAGGAAAACUUCGUGAUCUUCCAGGUGAAUCUGGAGUUUUUCCGAGCUACCUCUAUCAGUUUAAAGCGUUCUGCUAUUCCCAUGGUUGGAGUGAUACCGGUAAC
rnacentral:lncRNA from 1 species